rnacentral:lncRNA from 1 species
UAACUCAUACGCAACUGAAUAAAAUACAUAAAACUGUACAAAAUCAGCGAACAAUAACUUUCUGAAUCCAUACUAUACAAAACUGAAUUUACAAGAUAACAACUCUGCUCUUAGAAACAAAACUGAAACUGAAUACAUCAGCUUCUACUGGCUGUCUAUGAAGCCUCUACUAGCAUUGACUUUAGAUAGCCAGGACAUGACCCCCAACUAUCGCAAAUCAAUACGACUGAAUAAAGAAAAUAUCAAGUUGUAGAACUGACUCGAGCCCUUGAAUCAAAAGGACUCAUCAUUUGCUGACUGGAAGCUGCAACUGUCUGAAUAUAGUAUGCGUGCUAUAACUGAACUGAUACCAACAUUAGAAGACAAUGUGUGCAUAGACGUAUAUGUGGAUCAGUACUUUGAGGAUGUACUGAAUAUAUGGAAGUGUAUGCAAUAGUUAAACAAUAUCAUCAAUCUUUAUAGAAAUCAUGCAUGUUAAAUAUAAAAUGACUCACAUAGCUUGAAUAAAAUUCUCAUAAGUUGAGGUUAGGAAAUAGAUAAUAGAAAUCACGUGAGUCGUUUCACUUUAUUCUGGAUCUCUAUUCUUACUUUGUUCUCAACUUGUAAAUUAGAUAAAAUCUUAAAGCAUCAACCUUCAGGACAUAAGCUAUAAUCUCAUGAAAGCAAGAAACUUCUUGGGAACUUAGUAAUCAUGACACUUGAAAACUUUAGAAAUCAUAGAAACCAUAGCCUUCAAAAUCAAUAUACAUUCAAACUCACACUUUUAGCUUAAGGAUAGUAACACUUCUUUAAAACUCAAGAACUUGAUACUUUAGGAACUUUAAGACUUGAGACUCUAGAAAACUUAAGAGACUUUGGGACACUUGGGACUCGGGAUUAUAUCUUUGGGAGUUUCUUCUAACCGACAUAAACCAUGUAAAUUACAGAGAGUCCAACGUUUUACCCACGUUGGGGAGAACUAUUCUAUCCUUUCCAUCGGAGUAGAACCUUUAACUUUUAGUGAUCACUAUCUUAACCCACUUGGGGUAAAUCAGAAACCUACGGGGGCACGUAGUUCUGGGCCAUGAGACCUAGGAAUCAAGCCUAACUUGGUGCUAAAUACUACUCCCUUACUUAGCUCAGAACUUUAAGAAAAUUCACCUUAAACAAUUCAACAAUAUGUAAUAGGAGUCAAUAUGCUUCCUCUUUUAUCUCAAAUCAAACAAACAAUGUGGAUUUCUUUCUUAGCUUAGGGUCAAAACUCAAUUCUUUUCUUGAAAUCUUGAUAGACUUUUCAUCAAAGUUUUAAAAUCUCAACGACAUGGAAAUAUAAGUACACUUCUUGGAGUAUCAAUAAUUCAUCCUCAAAGACUCACAACUUCACAAUAAAGUUCAACUCAUGACAACAACUCUUGGAAAUUCUUGGAAACAUGAUAUCAAUAUAGGAAUGUGCAAUUUAUAUCAAGAACUCUCAAGUUAGAUCAUACUUGAACAAAAUAAUCAUGCAAUUAGGACUUGAACAAUUCCCUAAUAUCAUAAACUUGAAAUAUAGCAAAACAAUAUGAAUUCAUUUUGGAAAUACGAAAUUCUUUAUGAAAAUCUAAAACUUUUGGGCACAAGAACAAAGAGUGUUCUUGUUCAAACCCCAUAUACCUCAAAUUAUGGACUCUUGCUUUUUGGGAUGCUAUUCAUACAAUUGAUAGGUGCUUCUUGUAGCCCUCUCAAUGGGGAAUCCGAAUCUUGAAAAAUUAUCGAAAACCUACGGAUGAAUCUUGAGAUAUUUAAAUUUUUAGGUUGAAACCCUAAUGAAUGGCCUUGGUGAUUUUGAGAGAAAAUAAACUUAUUUUGGUGUCUUAGGGAUUUAAUCCCGUGUUAAGGAUAAUAAAGGGGUGGAAAAUACCAUUUCUACCCUUAAUGAGAUUGAGGAAAAAAGCUGAAAACUAGGCAAAAAGACUAUGGCCAGGGCGGCGCCUUGCCUAGAGCCUUUGCUAAGCUAGGCGGCGCCUCCCUAUAGCCUUUAGCUACUAUUUCUGAAACCCAAACACGCCCUUAGGCUCGUCUACAAAUUUUGAAACUCACCCAAGAUGUACUCUUACCUUACCCCAUUGCAACGCAACAAAAAAAUCAAUAAACGGAGGUCGGGAAGGUCGCUAAAUAAUUCCCCGAAGUUUGAAGGUUCAAAAAUAAACUAAGUGUUGAGCACUUAGCAAAAUUUGUAAGACUUCUUUUGAUUCGUUUCGAAAGCCUUAACGAUGAGGGAACUUUACAGGGUCUUACAAUAUCUCCCCCUUAGGAACAUUCGUCCUCGAAUGUCGCUCGUAAGGCUAAGAGUACAAAGAAAACUAAGGAUUCACGGCUGAAAUAACUUGUUAAAUUGACUCUACUUCAUCUUAGACUUUCGGGUACUUCAUAGAAUGCAUGAACUCAUAAUAAGAAUAUUCAUAUAGCUGAAUCUUUGAUUAAAAAAAAGGACUGAAUUAAGGAAGGCUAUUAUCUUCGUCUGAAUCUGAGCUAACUUGCUUUACCUUAUCAUGGGGAGCUGACUCAUGCUAAGAGUUUAGAACUCUUUUAAUGAGCUCAUGGCAUGAUCGUACUUAUAGACUGCAAAGUGAUUGUUUAUGCAGGCAUAAUCAUGAGAAAAUGAGGCUAAGAUUACACAAUGGAUAUCACAUUGUUUGAACUAGAAUACUUGGAAAAUGAAGGUUGUUCAAUGAAUACUUAUGAACUAAGACAUGACUAGAUACCCGAAUCCUGAAACUGAAACUGAUGUACGAAUUGAACUGAGUUCGCAAUUUACAUGGAUGGAAUAGAUUAUAUCUUGGAAUGGUCAUAUGCAUGAGACUUGAGAUAGCAGGACUGGGUGAAAAAGGUGUAAAACCACACGAUCUUGUCUGCCUCACCGUAAAACUGAAUUGCUGGCUAUACUGACUGAAUUACACUGGAAACUUAUACAUAGUUGGAGUAUCUCUUCAACACUCCAUAACAUGGAAUAUAGACAUAUAACUCAUAAACUGGGAUAGAAUUACCAGGCUUUAGGCGAUGCAACUUCUUACCUUCAAGCUUAGCAGCAGUUCUCGAAUACUCCAUCAUCUAUACUAUUCCCCUUAAAUACAAUACUCACUUGAUUCAACUUAUAAUUCUCAUAUAGCACUAAUAUUUCCAUCUACUAAUAUCUAGACUGAAUUAAAUUCUCUCACCAUCUUUAAACCUAACUCAAAAUCAUAGGACGCACCACAUAAUACUGUAAUACUAGCCUAAACCAUAAAUUCAACACACCCUGCAUUUCACAACUUUUCAUCUCAUGCGAAAUUCUCAUUACCACUCCAACAAACACAUUUGACCUCGUACUAGACAUUUACUAACGCGCAAUACAUUCAUCCCAAUAUAUAUACAAACAAGAUGCUCAAGCCUACUUCUAUAACCACAUAUGAACUUCUAAACACACUCCCAUAAAAUACCUUUGUCACAACUUACAAACCUCUAUCAAGAACAACUUCCAUGCACUACUCCUAAGAAGACAUACAUAAGAUUUCAACUACCCAAACAUCGCAUAUAAAACUUCGACUAACCAUGACGGGUAUUAAAGACUUGGCUUCAAUCUUACUUCACACUCUACUGCCUUAACUAAAAUAAGCAUACAACUAUCUUCCAGUAACAAGAAAUGUUUAGUCUCUCCCAUCCAGACAACUGAUCAUCAUCACUAUCUUGACCGAAGAAAAGGUAAUAGAAGUUUAGAACAUGAGGGCCUGAAACAUAAAGGGAUACUGUGAACUCAACUGAGGCUUGAGGAAUAGAAUAUUUAGCAUCAUGAACUUAUCAAAGAGGUCUAACCCGAGGACAUGCAUGAUAUAAACCUGAAUUUCGCUGAUCAUUAAAAGUAUUGCUUGAAUACUUGAACUAAACAUACCGUAAAGCUUGAGUACAUGAGUCAUGAGCUACAUGACUUAAAUUUGGAGUUCAUAACUUAUGAAAUGUGAUUCCAACUGCCGAAAGAACUGGAACUCCUUAUUCUUGGGAAUUAAGGGAGUACAAAUUUCUCUAUCAUAUGCAUGAACAUGAAUUAAGAUCAUGAAACUGAACUUAAGGCAUGAGCAGAUAUUGGGACAACUGAAAUGAUAUUGGGUCGGGCAUUAUGAUUCCUUACAGCUGUUCUACAACUUAUUGGUACAUCUACUAGAAUCUAAAAGCUUGACUUGGUUACUUGUGCUAUCAUCUCCCCCUUAAACUUCAGCCAUCAUUCUAAGGCUGUGAACCACUAUGUAAACUCUAGUCUGGUUGCAAUCACUUUACUCUAGAGUCUGGAAUAUAACAAUGCACGUGAAUGAUAGAACUUAACCCAAAUGACUACACCUGAAAGGGUAAGACCAACUUCUAAUACAACCUUCUGAGCUACACCCUCUCUUUCUAUAGCCCCAAAAGUCAUUAUAUAAUAUUUGAACACUUCCUAGCUUUGAAUCCACAUAAGCAUCCCUAUAGUCGGAGUGCACACCAUUUAGUGCUUUAACUCUUAUUUCUAUUAUCUCAAUCUCCCAACUUUCAAAAUUAGAUUCUAACGCUUAAUAUGGGUAUCUCCAAACUUUUGAUGGACCAUACUACUUCUAUCAUAGCCUACCAAUAUCACACUUAUAAGCUUAUAUUUCUAAACCAUGAGAAUCAAAAUCAUACUUAACAGGCUCAACACCGUCAAUCAUAACUCCUUAACUUAGUUAUCAAGAACAUCGUACAUUAUCUAAUGAGUCUUUCUCCACCUAGAAACUCAACAGUACUACUAACCACACAACAUGCAAUGAUCCUCGAAAAUAAUGCAGCCCUAUAGCACCUUGGGCGUCCUUCUACAUCAUGUUUACAACAUCAGACAUGAUUACGAAUCAAAUAAACUUAAGCUCUUUCACACACUGUUCAAGCCUACUAGAUCAUUCAUGUACGUCUAACAUCCACAACACAUCAAUCAUUAUAUCCACCUUGCUCAUCAUCUAUGAUUCGAACUUGUCAACUAUUCAUACCUGUCAAACAUCCAAAGAUUCUAGUCUGUUAAAAUCUCAUAACAUUAAGGAUCAAUCACAACCCUAUGAUCUAUCUUAUUUAAAAUCCAUUAACACACUCUCCUUCUACACAUCAUUACUAUCUACCAAGUAUUUUCAUCAAUAACUUAUACCUUUCUAGCACAACAAACAUUAUCAACAACUCUCUUCACACUUCAAGCAAACAUCAAUUCACCUUAACUAAUAACUCCUUCUCUAUCUUCUACUAAACUAACACAUAAGGACAUAUCACUUCUCAAAUGCCCUGUAGCCUCUCGAAGAAAAGUACAGACGUCUCCAUAGCGUUCCACAAGACUCUACUAGAGACGACUCACCCUAGGACUCUUGAACUCUAUGCUUUGAUACCAAAUUUGUAAUGCCCCGAAAUGAGUCCCGAGACGUCACACAGUGCUUAAGGUCACAAGUGACCCCAAGCUAACACUUUAAUUGGCAUAACUCAUAUGCAACUAAAUAAAAUACAUAAAUCUAUACAAAAUCAGCGAAAAAUAACUCUUCUGAAUCUAUACUAUACAAAACUGAAUUUACAAAAUUACAACUCUGCUCUUAGAAACAAAACUGAAACUGAAUACAUCAACUUCUACCGACUGUCUAUGAAGCCUCUACUAGCAUUGACUUUAGAUAGCCGAGACAUGACCCCCAACAAUCCCAAAUCAAUACGACUGAAUAAAGAAAAUAUCAAACUGUAAAACUGACACGAGCCCUUGAAUCAAAAGGACUCAUCACUUGCUGACUGGAAGCUGUAACUGUCUGAAUAUAGUAUGCGUGCUACAACUGAACUGAUACCGACAUUAUGAGAUAAUAUAGCACAUAGAUGUAUAUGUGGAUUAGUACUUUGAGGAUGUACUGAGUAUAUGGGGGUGUAUGCAAUAGUUAAACAAUAUCAUCAAUCUUUAUAGAAAUCAUGCAUGCUAAAUGUAAAUGACUCACAUAGCUUGAAUAAAAUUCUCAUAAGUUGUGGUUAGGAAAUAGAUAAUAGAAAUCACAUGAGUCAUUUUACUUUAUUCUGGAUCUGUAUUCUUUCUUUGUUCUCAACUUGUAAAUUAGAACCUUUAACUUUUAGUGAUCACUAUCUUAACCCACUUGGGGAAAAUCAGAAACCUACGGGGGCAUGUAGUUCUGGGCCAUGAGACCUCGAAAUCAAGCCCAACUCGGUGCUAAAUACUACUCCCUUACUUAGCUCAGAAAUUUAAGAAAAUCCACAUUAAACAAUUCAACAAUAUGUAAUGGGAGCCAAUAUGUUUCCUCUUUAUCUCAAAUCAAACAAAUAAAACAAAUAAUGUGGAUUUCUUUCUUAGCUUAGGAUCAAAACUCAAUUCUUUUCUUGAAAUUUUGAUAGAUUUUUCAUCGGAGUUUUAAAAUCUCAACAACAUGAAAUAUAAGUACAUUUCUUAAAGUAUCAAUAAUUCAUCCUCAAAGACUCACAACUUCACAAUAAAGUUCAACUGAUGACAACAACUCUUGGAAAUUCUUGGAAACAUGAUAUCAAUAUAGAAAUAUGCAAUUUAUAUCAUGAACUCUCAAUUUAGAUCAUAAUUGAACAAAAUAAUCAUGCAAUUCAAGACUUGAACAAUUCCCUAAUCUCAUAAACUUGAAAUAUAGCAAAAUAAUAUGAAUUCAUCUUGAAAAUCUGAAAUUCUUUAAGAAAAUCUAAAACUUUUGAGCAUNNNNNNNNNNNAAAGAGUGUUCUUGUUCAAACCCCACAUUCCUACAAUUAUGGAUCUUGCUUUUUGGGAUGUUAUUCGUACAAUUGAUAGGUGUUUCUUGUAGCCCUCGCAAUGGAGAAUCCGAAUCUUGAAAAAUUAUUGAAACCCUACGAUUGAAUCUUGAGAUAUUUGGAUUUUUAGGUUGAAACCCUAAUGAAUAUCCUUGGUGAUUUUGAGAGAAAAUAAACUUAUUUUGGUGUCUUAGGGAUUUAAUCCCGUGUUAAGGAUGAUAAGGGAGGGGAAAAUACCAUUUCUACCCUCAAUGAGACAGAGGAAAAAAGUUGAAAACUAGGCAAAAAGGCUGGCCAGGGCGGCGCCUUGGGCAGCGCCUAGCCCAGAGCCUUUGCUAAACUGGGCGGUGCCUCCCUAUAACCUUUAGCUACUGUUUUUGAACCCAAAGACGCCCUUAGGCUCGUUUAUAAAUUUUGAAACAUACCCAAGAUGUACUCUUACCUUGCCCCAUCGAAACGCAACAAAAAAAUAAUAAAUGGAGGUCGGGAAGGUCACUAAAUAAUUCCCCGAAGUUUGAAGGUUCACUAAUAAACUAAGUGUUGAGCACUUAGCAAAAUUUCUAAGUGUAAGAUUUCUUUUGAUUCGUUUCGAAAGCCUUAACGACGAGGGAACUUUACGGGGUCUUACAAUAUCUCCCCCUCGGGAACAUUCAUCCUCGAAUGUCGCUCGUAAGGCUAAGAGUACAGAUAAAUCCAUAUGUUUACCAAAAAUGCCUAAGUGAAAUAAUUGUGCAAUUUGAUCCAUUAUUGAUCUUAAUUAUGAAAUCAUGAAAGAACUACAUGUCUAAAGGACUCCCAUGUUAAAGUUAUGCCUUGAAGGUGUUUGUUGAAAUGCCUAUGUGAAUCAUUAGUGUACUUAUGACAUGAUAGCAUGUAUCCCUAUAUAUGUACAAGUUCAAGAUUUACAAGUGUUUGAUGAAAUGCCUUAGAAAGUGAAUUAUGAACAUGUGGCCAUUGUCGUGCCUUUAAGAUUUAUGUUACGCUUUACUCUUUACGUUAUCAAGUCUUGGAUGACGACCUUGAUGAGCAUAUGCAACCAGUCUUAGACUCUACCCCUCAGCCCAGAAUUGAUCUCAGCGGAACUCCAAAACAUGGGCCAGAGCCUCCCCUUCUUUCUUCCUAAAAUGCCUGAGCUCCUGAGAGAGGGCCCAAUUUUUAUCAAAUCCUAUGGGGAGCUCCCACAAAUUCCACUUCUCACAAACGAAAUAGACAUUCCACAUCAUCGACUUUCGAUGGAAAUAAUGGAAAGAGCGAAAACCAUGGAGGCUCUAAGGCAAACAACAGGGAAAUAGAGAAACUCCUGGCAUUAUUAAAGGUCCCAGAGCAAAGGUCAUACUUCUAGGAAGGCCUAUCUCUCAAACAUUCGAGGAACUUAUCAGCGUGUUUCUAAUUGUCCUACUUACCCCAGAACUAAACCAGUUCGAUCUAUAAGUCAACCUCCCAAAGUCAAACAUCUUCUACUUCAGCCAAGAUGACCCCGAUAUCCAAGAAAAGAAAAGAACCAACGUCAACCUUUCUCCCUCGCUUAAUGGACAAGGGGAAAAGAAUACUAGAUCCAGCCCAUCAUAAGCCCCCCCCCCCCCCAUCCUCCUCUAUGAUGACUUCAAUAAUAUCAAAUGUUAGAGGAGCAAAGAAUGCUGAGUUCAGAAGGCAUUGUCAAUCAAUGGUUAACAUUCACAAGCCUUUUCUGCCUACCCUCCUAAUAAAGACAUUGCUGAAACUUUGGGUUUAAAUAGCCAAAUUCAAUUCCCUACUACGGGUAGCGUAUGAGGUAUUGUUAUCAUGUGGGAUAAUUCUACUUUGGGUAUUCAAAACAUUGUUAUUUUCCCUCAGGGCAUUCAUGUGGCUGUAAAGGUAAUUAGCCCUUCUUCCUCUUGGUACUUUAGUGUUAUAUAUGCUAGUAAUAGUUUUGAAGUUAGGAAAAGUCUUUGGGCUUAACCUCAUCGAGUUUGCUAACUCUAUUGCUGGUGAGUCUCCUAAUACCUAGAUUAUUGGAGGGGACUCUAGUGAAGUCCUUAAAGCUCAGAGAAGAUUGGUGGCAAUAAUAUCAAUAUAACUAGAGCGACUGCCUUCUCAGAUUGCAUCAAUAAUUAUAGCCUUGUGGAUUAGGUUUCAAAGGCAGCAAGUAUACUUUGUCUAAAAAAAUAUUUAGGAAUAGAAGGGGACUCAUUCUUGAAAGGCUAGAUAGAUGUCUAGCCAAUGAGGCUUGGAUUCACCUCUUUCCUAAAGCCUCUGUCUCCCAUCUUCCCAGAACCGAUUACGAUCAUUGUCCCCUUCGCUUGAAGCUGGACAAUACCCCCAACACCUAGGAUAACCCCUUUAGGGUUAAGUCCAUAUAGUGCUCUCACCCAAGCUUUAUUCACAUUAUCCAGAAUUCUUUUUCCCCUGAGGUUCCUCUGACCGAGGCCAUAACCAUCUUUGAAUCCCAGGUUUUCACCUAGAAUAGAGAAACCUUUACUAACAUCUUUAAGGAAAGAACAAGAACCUUGCUAGAUUAGAUAGCAUCCAAAAAUCUCCCUAUUAUCACUCCAGCCUCUUUCUCCAGGACCUUGAAAGAACCCUCACUAAGGAAUUUAGUAUCAUUCUCGGACUAGAAUAAGUGUUCUGGAAACUUAAAUCCAGAAUCAAUUGGAUUGCUGAGGGUGACUCUAAUACUAGAUUCUUCCAUAUCUUUACUCUAAUAGAAGAAGAAGAAAUUGGAUUAAUGUCAACAAAAAAGAUAGUGGUAAUUGGAUCUACUCUACAGAGGCAAUCUACAACCACAUCCUAUCCUUCAACAACAAUCUCUUCGGGAUUGACCACCUUUCAUAUCCUCUGUCAGUUGAACCCCUCCUCUUUAGAGGGUCCAUCAAAUCAGAGGAUCAUGAUUCUCUUAACAACAUCCCUUCCCCUAAAGAAAUUAAAAGAACCAUCUUCUCUUUCAAUCCUUACAAAGCUCCUGGCCCUGAUGCCAUCCAACCCUCCUUUUACCAGAGAUACUUGUACAUCUUGAGUCAUUCUGUUAUCAACACCUUCACUUCUGGUAAAAUGAAGUAUAAGGUCAAUUCUACCUAUCUUUGUCUCAUCCCCAAAUGUCCUAAUGCUAGCAAUAUUAGGAAUUACAGACCCAUUGGGCUCUGUAACACUCAAUAUAAGCUUAUCACUAAAAUCCUAGCUUUCGGGAUAAAACCUCAUUUUGCUAAGAUCAUCAGCCACACUCAAGAAAGCUUUCUCCCCAACAGGAGGACCUCAGACAAUGCAAUCAUUGUUCAAGAGGCCAUAUCCCACUUCCAGAAAAUGAAAGGCAAGUAGACAUAUGGUUUUGAAAAUAAACCUCAAAAAAGCCUUUGAUGGACUAAAGUGGUAUUCAUUAGACAAGCUCUCCAUUUCCUCAACAUCCCAACCAAACUCAGCUCCCUCAUAAAGUCAUACAUCUCUUCUUCCGGUGUAUUUGUUUUAAUUAAUGGGAGAAAAUCCGACUUCUUCUACCCCUCUAAAGGGAUCUGACAAGAUGACCCUCUUUUUUCCCUACAUCUUUUUCAUGUGCAUGAAACUACUCUCUAUGAGAAUAAACCAUGAGGUAGAUAUCCUUAAUUGGAACCCUAUAUCCAUUUGCAAUAAUGGCCCCAAACUUUCCCAUCUUUUUUUUGUUGAUGACCUUACCCUCUUCUCUAAGGUCUCUAUAGGAAGUUGUACCACCAUUUCCAAAGUUGUUGAGUCUUUUAGCCUUCAUUCUGGGCAAAAAAUCAACCUUUCCAAAGCCAAGGCAUCUUCUCAAAGAAUUGCUCCCCUCAAGACAAAACCUCUAUGGUAAACAUCCUCUCUAUCCAAGUUAAGGAUAACUUUGGGAAGUACAUUGGUUUCCUUAUUCUUCACUCUGCCCCUUGCUAAAAGGACUUCCAGUUCAUCAUUAAUAACAUUAACACUAGACUAGCUGGUUGGAAAACCAAGUUCCUGAACCUUUUUGGGAGGGUUACCCUUGCAAAAGCCUCUCUUAGUAGUAUUCCUAUCCAUGUUAUGUAGUACCACUUCAUCCUUAGCAGAAUUAUCUCUCUUAUUGAUAAGAGCCCAAAGGAAUUUUAUUUGGGUUCCACCUUGGAGAAAAGAAGAAUGCACAUGGUGAGCUGGGACGUCAUCACCCUCCCCAAAAACCAAGGUAGACUUGGUCUUCAAAAAGCUAGGCAUAAGAAUGACACCAUGCUUACAAGCCUAACCUGGAGACUUACCCAGAACCCCAACCGUCUUUGGGCACAGAUUCUAAGGAAUAAAUAUGGGUCUCCGAAGUCUAAGUGUAACCCUUCCUUCUCCAAGACUUGGAAAAAUAUCUCCCGAGGUUGGAAGCAUUGUCUGAAUGGUGCCCAAUGGAUUGUCCAUAAUGGGAAUCAUAUCAACUUUUGGUAUGGCAGGUGGAUCCCCAACAUGGAACCCCUUAUAUACCUUAUUCAGGGCCCCCUUAGCCUCCUUCAAUCCUAAAUCAAGGUCUCAGAAGUCUGGAAUGAAGGUAACUAGUUUUUCUCUGACCUCUCCCUCCAAUGGUAUUUUCUCUAGUAGUAGCGCAUAUUCCCUCCAAGGCCCUAUCUUUUUGGUUUGAUAAUGAAUAGAGUUCAGAAUCAUUUUCUUUUUUGUAAUGAAUUAAUUGGUCUUUUUCAUAUGAAUUCCAUUUGUUUAAGUUUCUAUUUUUAUUUUGAGCCAUACAACUUUGAUUAACCCCAGUUCUCCAUUUUUUUGGCAUUAAUCUAGACCAUCUAAUCUUAGAUAAAUCGUAUUGAUAAUGCCGUCUUAACCAGUUUUUCCAUUGAUUGAUUCUAUAACUCUGAGGUUUUUUAUGUUUUAAUUCAGAAUGAAAUAUUCCUAGUGUUCUAAAAUAGUCCUUUAUUUUAGUCUUAAGGAAAAAAGACGUUCUGUUAUAUUGAAGAACAGAUUUAAAUUUAGACAAAUUAAUAACUUGGGUUUGUGAUAAUUUGUAAAAUACAUAUGCUUGUGACAAGUAGGAUAAAUCAAAAAAACUAUGUGAAUUUUUCUUACUAAUAUUAUAAAUAUUAUAAAGUGACUUUUUUAUAGUCGAAAUAAAGAUAAAGUUAAUUUUGUUUUUAUUAUUAAUUUUUUCUUGAUUUAUUUCAUUAUUGGAAAUGUAUUUCUCAAUCAAUUUCUUUGUUGAUUUAAGACGGAGUUGUGUAUUAAUUCUUGUAAUAUUAAUGAUAGAUAAAAAUAGAUCGAUGUAUAAUCUUUGAAUGAAUAAUUUUCUAAAAUAAUGGAAUUGACAUAUUAAUCGAGUAUUUCUUUUUUUUAAUAUUUGGAAAAUAUUUUUUGGCGAUUUAGGACUAAUGUCUAUUUCUGGAGUUACUUUCUUUUUCUCUUUUGUAAUUCUUUCUAUUUGAUUUUUUAUUGUACUUGUUCUAUCAGUCAAAUCCUUCAUUUUGGUUUCUAUCAGUGAAGAAUUUGGCUCUGGAAAACAAACUGCCCCAAGGAUUAAGUCCUUCCUUUGGUAGCCCAACAUAAUAGAUUUCCUACUAAGCUACCCUCUCCAACAUGGGCCUCCCCAUCAGCCCUAACUGUGACUUUUGCAACCACUCCUUAGAAGAUAUCCCCCACCUCUUCUUUGAUUGCCCUGCCACCCAAGAGAUCUAGCAUAACCUUUCUUUAAAGGUCGCAAUGAGCCAAGAAUUACCCUCCCUAAUCUUCACCCUACCAAAUGGUCCCUUUGGACUAAACUAAGACAUAAAAAAUUCAACCACCUCCUUGAUUGACAUGAUAUUAUCCCCUUCUGCCUCUGGACUAUCUGGAGAAACCAAUUAUUUUGAGAACAAGAAGGCAAAACCCUUUUUUAUCCAAAGUUACUCAAAAGCAAUCGAAUAUAACCUUCUAGUUGUAAAUCCUUCAUCCACAACCAGAUUCACGGAUAUCAAUAUCCAUUGGAACCCUCCUCCCAAGGUUACUUUAAACUUAACAUCAAUGACUCGUGUCUUGGAAAUUCGGGUAGGGGAGGGAUAGAAGGUUUGACCCGUAAUGCAAUAGGAGGUUGGGUUCUUGGCUUCACCAAGAGCUUUAGCCAUACCACUAACAACUACAUGGAGUUUGCUCUCAGGGAAGGACUUAAAAUUGUUGAAUCCCACUAGUCUUCACCCUUGGAGAUCAACAUUGAUUCCAUGGAUUUAAUUUCAAUGCUAAAUCAUGGAAACUUACAUUAUAAUGAGUUUCCAUUAUAAUGCUAUCAUUGAUGAAUGCAGGUCUAGCCUAAGAAGAUUAGGAAGCCCAGCGAUGGUGCAUUGCUUUAGAGAGCAAAAUGGCGUGGCUAAUGCCUUAGUGAAUAAGGGGGUUGAAUCUGAAGCGGAGCUGGGAAUCGCUCUUUUUGAAAUUUCGUCAAUGUGUGCGCAACAAUCUCUAUAGGCAGACAUUGUGGGAACUCUUUUUGUUAGACAAAUUAAGCAUCCUCCAGACAGUUUUGUGACAGUUUUGUGACUGACAUCACAAGACUUUUGUACUUAAUCCUGACUCAUCUAGUCAGAACUAUGUUACUCCUUUUGUUUUUUUAUUUAAUAUUAACGCAAGCCUAUUAACCAAAAAAAAAAGAUGGACUAGUUGAGUAAUCCAACAUUGCGAUGAUCAUUACAGAGAGCAAAUUUCUAAAAAAUAGGAAUACAUUAUACUUUUAAGCUAAUCUUGAGUGAAGACUUAUAAGAAUGAGUUCAGAAUCAAUUGUUUAGACCACUUUUAUGUUAUAACCUAAAGAAGAAAAUCUGUGUAAGUCUAGGCUUCUAAGCGAACUAUACCUUAAGGACCAGUUUGGUAGGCCGCACUAAUUAGAAUAAUCCAUGGAUUAAAAUUGUCUCUCCAAUACAUCGUUUGGUUACUUUUCAACUUAAUACAUGAAUUACUUAUACACCAUAUGAUGUCUUAUUUUAUCCCUAGUAAAUGGAAAGGAUAACUUAUCCAAGAUUUAACAAUCCAUGGAUAAGACCUCCAAAUGACUAAAUUAUCCCUCAAUUUUUUUUUUAAAUUUCUUUUGUAAUUUGACAUCCUCAUUAACUAUAUUGGGUUGGUUAUAAAUGUUCUUUUUAAUUCUCGGACUCUAGUUCAUUGUAAUUUGACUAUUUCAUAAAUUAUGUUUGACUUUUUUCUUCAUAUUUCAUUUUCUUUACUGGGUUGAGAAACAGUUCAUGGAUUGGUCAUUUUAAUAAGCUUUAGGUAUUUAAACAUUUAUGUAGCCUUAAAUCUAUGGUAAAUUUAAGGCAGGUUUGACCAAUAAAAGAAUAUUGAAAGUACACAGUGUUAUCAAGGAUUUUCAUAGUGGCAAUCACACCAGAAAAUUAGUAAUAAAUUUUUAUUCAUAUUUUAGUUUUUAACUUGACUAAUUUAAUGAAAUAGAAAAUCCCAUAAAAAUUCAAGGGUAUAAUUGUAAAUGAGAUUUUUGUAGAGUUUUAAAUCAAACAUAAUACAUGAUAUAUCUAGUUUUUAAUAUAAUGAACCAAACACUUGAUAAAAAAUAAUUCAAGUACUAUAAUCCCUGUAUUAUUUCCUGCAUUAGCUGUCUUCGUACCAAACGACCUCUAAAAUCGGUACCUUUAUAAAAGUUUAGCUCAAACAUAGUUGAAAUUUGACCUCUUUGAAAUUAUUGAACACUACGUAAACCCCUUCUCUAGCUGAGGCCUUCCUUAAUGGGUUCUAAUUCUAAGAAGGGUACAAGUGAACAAGAGGGUAAAUUAGGUAGUAAAAUGAUACUUUAAUUAGUUGUUUUAAGAGAAUUAAAGAGUAAGGGAACUUGUUUGUCAAUAAUUUCUUAUUCACAUCUAAAUAUAAUCGGAGAAUAACAAAAGAAAGAUUUCAAGGCUUUGAGAAUAUCACUUUGAUACUUUUCCUCAUCACCUUUAUCUUCAAAUCAAGGUGUAUUACAUUACUACUUAAUAUAAGUGACAAUCUUGAGUUUUUCGUCGUUCUCACAGGAACAAUUUUAGAAUAUCACUGUGUCCUUUGUAAAUGAUAUUGAUAAACUAGAAAAUUUAAAGUUGUGAAAACUCUCUAGAAAUGCUCACAGCGCAUGUUAGCUAACGUACGCUGAGCUUGAAAGCCACGGCUAGAGGGAGAGGCCGAGGAUGGGGGCGAGGUUGAGGAAGGCCCCCAAGACAACUAUUGCUUCUUUUGGUAGCUCUGUAGCUACUAGACAACAAAUCCCACUUAAAUCUGACUUGAUUACACCCCCACUAGGGAUUAAGGUUAAGGAGCAACACCUGGUAGGCGAUGGGAGUCCCACCACUGCAGUAGCUAAGAAACUCUAAUUAAGUGACACUCCACCUACUGAUAGUAAAGUUGAUGAAUCUGGUGGUUCCAGGAGUUUGUAAUAUGCCAAUCCCAAUGGAACAGUGAAUUGAGCUAUUGUACACCAAACCAAUGAAAUAAUAAUACCAGAUCUGAAAGAGAAGGAAUGCAAGAGAAAAGAUAGGGGGAAGGGAAGAAUAGAUCAGCAGCCAAGGAUAUGUCUCUGAACUAUAUAGCCCCAGUAAUUGUGAAUGGACAAUGUAUAACUGAACUAGAUAAGGCUGAGGUAGCUAAGGAAUCUCAUAACUGGAAGUGUGCACUAAUUGAAUAUGUAAUUGGGGCAAACCCUGGGUAUAAUGGUUAUAAUGUGAUGAUGCAAUAUAUCAAUCAAAAUUGGAAGGAAGUUGCUCAACCGGAGUUAUAUAUGCAUGAUGAAGGUUAUUUCAUUACUAGAUUUAACUCACAGACUGACCUACACAGUUUUAUGCUCAGGUUCAUACACUAUCAAUAAUCUUCCUCUCAUACUCAAGUUGUGGUCAGCCCAAUUUGAUUUUAAUGAAGAAUACCCUACUAAGAUCCCGCUAUGGGUGAAAUUUCCUAAACUACCAAUGAAUUAUUGGAGUUACGAUUCAUUGAGUAGGAUUGCUAACUCAAUAGGCACUUCUAUGUAUGCUGAUGAGUGCACCACCAAGCAGACUCGCAUAUCCUAUGCUUGAAUUCUAGUUGAGGUCAACAUUACUCAGCUAUUACCUGAUUCAGUCAUAGUGAGAGCCCCUGAUAGUCAUGUUUUUCAGCAGGUAGUCAUGUACGAUUGGAAGCCUGUGUUCUGCCAAAAAGGUCAGAUUAUUGGUCAUACAUGUCACAGAUAACCCCCACCAAUGCCCAGAUAAAAGAAAGAAAUACCCAAAAGAGUGAUCCAAACCUGGCAAUACAAUGUCUUAAUCGUGGAUCAAGACAAGAGGCCUAGAAUUUAGAGAAAAAUGAGCCAUAGACACUAGAGCAAGCCACUGUUAAGGGAGAAAAAUCAAUUAUAACACUGGAGCCUACAACCACCACAUCUUCACAGUCUACACAACUAGUAAAGUCCACACAACUAGUAAAGUCCAAUGAGACUAGCUUUCAACCAGUAACUAUUAAGAAAAGAGGUGUUGUUCCUAUUGAUAUUAUCUUGGAUAUGGGUAUGUCUUCUAUCUCCUUCGGGAACAGGUUUGCUAGUAUUUAGAGUGACAUAGGUGAGGCGAGUUUGGCCCUUCUUGAUAGAGGGAAAAUACAUAAUACCAUAUGAAACGGCUGUUUUGGAAUAUCAGGGGUAUGAAUAAAAGGUAUAAGCAAAAAGAAGUUAAAAAUUUGCUUAAGAAUAAAAAAGUUGAUUUAGUAGGAAUAGUAGAAACUAGAGUCAAGGCUCACAAAGCCACUCAAAUAAGUGCCCACAUUGCUUCUGUUUGGGGGAAAUUACACAAUUACAACUCUACUGAAAAUGGUAGAAUUUGGAUACUAUGGGAUACUCGACACUACUAUGUCUCUCUUUUGAAAGAAGAGAUGCAAUUAAUACAAUGUCAGGUCAGGAGCUUAGCUGAUGGGGAAGUCUGUUUAAUUACGGUAGUAUAUGGAUACAAUACUGCAUCUUUGAGACUGAUGCUAUGGGACCAAUUAUGAGAGAUAUCACAAGGUAACCAACAACCAAGGAUUAUCAGUGGUAACUUCGAAGCUCUAUUGUACCCUCGGGAUAGAUUUGCAGGGAAUCCAGUACAAUAUAGUGACUCGAAGGAUUUUACUAACACAUUCAUAGUUGUGCACUUUAUGAGAUAUCAUGGAAAGGAGACUAUUAUACUUGGUCAACAGAAAACUUGGAAAAGAUAGAAUCUGAGCAGAAUAGAUAGAACUUUGGGCAACAGUGUUUGGAUGCAACAAUGUGGGUCAUGUGAAGGUUGAAUAUGAGGUCCCUUAUGUCUCAGACCACUCUCCAGUGUUUAUUAAUCUUACAGGUAAUAACUGAACAUCAAAGUGUCACUUAAGUUUUUUAAUGUGUGGACAGAGCACAAAGAUUUCCUGCAAAAUAUUAUUGAACAUAACUGGCAAGGUAUAAAGAACCUCGACCCUGGAAAGAACUUAUGGAUGAAACUCAAAGCUCUAUAGACUAAUUUGAAAGCCGUCAAUAACCUAGAAUUUAAAGUCAUAGCUCAGAGGAUAGAAAAAUCUAGGACUGAUCUUCAUAUUAUACAGGAGAAUAUGUUGCAAUGUCAAUCAGAUACCCUGCAAGCUUACGAGAAAAUAACUCUUCAAACUCUUGAAAAAUGGUUUGAGGUAGAGGAAAGUAUUAUGAAGUAGAAUCCAAAGCACAAUGGAUUAAACCUGGAGACUUCAAUACAAAAUAUUUCUCAGCAGUUGUCAAAGACAGAACCCAGAGGAAGAAUAUUACUGAACUCACCAGCUUGGUUGGUGACUUACUAACUGGCCCUAAAGCUAUUAAAGAGGAAAUUAUCUCUUUAUAUAAGGGUCUAAUGGGUUCUACAGCUCUUUCCGUACCUCAGUUGAUAUCUCAAAUAUGCAGAAAGGUCCUAGACUGUAGCAGAAUCAAAAAAUACUACUGUGACUGAAGAAAAAAUUCUUAAAAGCCUAAAAACUAUGAAAGAUGAUAAAACCUGGAUUGGAUGGAUAAAAUGUUGUGUUCUUUAAUAAAACUUGGCAUUUUUUUAAGCACGAGGUCAUUUUCACUGUGAAGCAUUUCUUUGAUACUGAAAAACUUUUCAAGCCUCUUAAUUGUGCAAUAGUAACCCUGGUUUCAAAAAUCCAAGCUCCUACCACAGUUAAAGACUAUAGACCUAUUACAUUUUGCUCUAUUGUGUGUAAGUUGAUUUUUAAGAUAUAAUAAGUAGACUCCAGAAUGUCAUGCAACCCGUAUUAAUGAGGCUCAAUCUAGUUUUAUCCCUGGUAGAAGAAUAGGGGAUAGUAUUAUCAUGGCACAUGAACUUAUCAAAGGCUACAUCAGAAAGAACAUCUCCCCCAGAUGCGUGAUCUCCAAAAGGCAUAUGAUUCUGUUGAAUGGAUAUAUUUGCAUCAUAUUUUAGUGGUUCUGGGAUUUCCUGAUAAAUUUAUCACUUGGCUCAUGUGUACAAACUGUUUCUUAUAGUAUUAUGAUCAAUGGUGAACCUAGUGAACCUUUUCCAGCAGCUAAGGGAUUAAGACAAGGUGACCCCAUAUCACACUUCCUUAUUUGCUUUAGCAAUGGAAUACCUGAGCAAGACAUUAUCAUAGUUGAAGAUGGAUAAAGGCUUUCACUAUCAUCCUAGAUGUGCCAAGCUAGGUGUCGCGCCCUAUUUCGAACCGGUGGAGAUAGUCCACAACAUAGUUGUGGUCACUGUGACUCUUUGGUUUUGAAAAUCAUUUUUAUGUAAAAAAAAUCUAUUUUUGAUCUUUCAAAAAUAUUUGAGAUUCUAAGUAAAGGUUUCGGUUACUCGAGGGUAAGGUGUUAAGCACCCCUAAGGGCCUAUCCGAAGAUAGUCCUUAACUCAGUUUAGGAAGACAUUUGGAAAAAUAUUUACUUUUAUUAUUUACAAUAAUAGUGGUAACUACACAUAAUGUUUAUCAAAUUCUAAAGAAACACACAAGGUACAUAAACAUAUCCUUCCGAUAUACGAAAAAGUGACGUAAUUUAUUGUCAAAAUAUGCAUGCAAUGUUUCAAAAAAAUAUGAAAAUGCACAUCUAUAAACCCAUGUAUUCAAUACCAUACGAUUUUUCAGAAACAUAAAUUCUAAACAGAACCAAAGAUUCGUAGAAAUCAAAAGAAAAACGAAAGAAAAGGAGAUGAGAGUUGAAUUAGAAAGGGAAUCCGCACCUUUUCUGGGGCAGCAAUUGAGGCUUUCCGUCAAGAUUCCGGCCACCAAACUCUACACCGGAAACUCGAUUUUAACAUGAAAUUAAGAAGAAAGACCAAGAAUUAUUGUGAUCUCCUACAUAUUUCCAAAAUACCCAAGGCUGAGUUUUGAACGUUCUCCUCCUUUCUCGACCGAUCUGAAACUUUUAUAUCUUUUAAAACUCGUUUCUCCCCUUUGCCUCGAAUCUGACAAAACCUCCAUUUUUGGACCUCUACAAACACUCCCUCUUUUAGUGAUGGAAUUGAAGGUAUUUAUAGUUAAAUUAGAACUUCAAAAUUUGGAUUUGACACUUAAAUCUAUAGAAGCCAACGGAUAGAAAAAAGAUGGGGGGAUUCAAAUUCAAAAACAGGAAAGAGACAUCACAUAACCUAAAAUUUUGGACGAUCCUUGGACCUUUAGUGUGGAUUUGAAAUUGAUUUUCAAUUCUUGUACCGAUUUGGAACUGUUUUUCUAAUGUCCGUUGGUUUCACGGGUCGGAGGAGAUAAAAUUGAGGGAAAUCUUGACAAGUGAGGGCAGACGAUGGUCAGUUAUGGUGGUGGAUAGGGUUUCAUUUUCGGGGUUGUUGAGGAGAAGAAGAAGAACAAACAAGGGAGGGGUCAGUAGUCUUGCUGUGCAUUUUUGAAGAAUGGAUGGAGACUAGUCGAUGCUUCUCUGAUAAACAAGCAAAGACGCGUCUGUGCUGUACUUAUUGAAGACCAA